rnacentral:rRNA from 1 species
GAUGAACGCUAGCUACAGGCUUAACACAUGCAAGUCGAGGGGAAACGACAUUGGAAGCUUGCUUCCGAUAGGCGUCGACCGGCGCACGGGUGAGUAACGCGUAUCCAACCUGCCCACCACUUGGGGAUAACCUUGCGAAAGUAAGACUAAUACCCAAUGACGUCUCUAGAAGACAUCUGAAAGAGAUUAAAGAUUUAUCGGUGAUGGAUGGGGAUGCGUCUGAUUAGCUUGUUGGCGGGGUAACGGCCCACCAAGGCGACGAUCAGUAGGGGGUCUGAGAGGAAGGUCCCCCAACUUGGAACUGAGACACGGUCCAAACGCCGACGGAGGGCAGCAGGGAGGAAUAUUGGUCAAUGUGCGAGAGCCUGAACCAGACAAGUAGCGUGCAGGAUGACGGCCCUAUGGGUUGUAAACUGCUUUUAUAAGGGAAUAAGUGGGUCUCGUGAGACUUUUUGCAUGUACCUUAUGAAUAGGGACCGGCUAAUUCCGUGCCAGCCGCCGCAGUAA